CCCGGGGAAAUUAGGGAGUGGUCAUUAUUUAUGGGGAGGGGGGUGUUGGGAAAUGGGAAAAAUAAGGAUUGAAAACUUUUUUGACCCCCCCCCCUACAGAACUGAAGGCAAACUUUUUGUGCCUCCCCCCUCAUAAAAGUAGAAACUUUUCUGACCCCCACCCCCCAGUGUGGAUUGAAAAAUUAAUAGCAAUGAAACAGGUGUGCAUUGCAUGUAAAGUUAGAUAUUAGGACAAUCUGUUUAAUGUAGCUCAUGAUGUUUUACCCUGGUGAAUAUGAUUCAACCAUAUAUGAUUAAAAAAUAUAUAUUAUGUGUUACUACUUUGCAAUGCAACAUUUGUCCUACCAUAACCCUAACCCAUGACCCGUCUUCAUACAACGAUUUGAACACAGGGUUUUUUUAAGAACUUGUCAGGGUGGGCAUCUACAAAAAGGGACCAAUUACUAUAUUGAGUGUGGAGAGAUGACAGAUGGUUGUUGGUGACAAAAAGUUUGGUGUAGUAUUGUAUGUACUAGUAGGGGGGUCUCCCCCAGAAAUUUUUUUUGUAUUUUUCCACCCCUAGAACUGAAAUGUGAGCAUUUUCUGAAACAGAUUUUUGGAUAUACAGCGUUAUAUUGUGCGUUGAUAGACCGAAUCUGAUCAGUUAUUAAAGUGUACUUGCAUGGUAUGUUUAUGUAAAUACCAGAACUGGGUCACUCAGGGUUAAACUUAGUGGGCCCGACUCGCAUUAUCGCGAGGCGCUACCAUGGUUGGCGCCGAGCAGGGAAAUUUUGAAAAUUUUGAGUCUCUAGAUCGUUGGAAAUAGCAUUUUCAGAGUCUUCUUUUUUGCUAUUUGUGAUUAUAGAAAUCAGAACUCUAGACAUGGUAUUUAAGUUCAAAAACUUUUAUGACCCCCCUCCCCUUUCUCUGUGUUAAAAC